UACGUAGGGACCAAGCGUUGUUCGGAUUUACUGGGCGUAAAGGGCGCGUAGGCGGCUUGACAAGUCACUUGUGAAAUCUCCGGGCUUAACUCGGAACGGCCAAGUGAAACUGUCAUGCUAGAGUGCAGAAGGGGCAAUCGGAAUUCUUGGUGUAGCGGUGAAAUGCGUAGAUAUCAGGAGGAACACCGGUGGCGAAGGCGGCUAUCUGGACAGAGUCUGACGCUGAGGCGCGAAAGCUAGGGGAGCAAACAGG
rnacentral:rRNA from 1 species